GAUGAACGCUGGCGGCGUGCUUAACACAUGCAAGUCGAACGUGAAGAAGCAGCAAUGUUUCUGAAAGUGGCGGACGGGUGAGUAACACGUGGGUGACCUGCCUUGCAGAGGGGGAUAACGAGGGGAAACCUUCGCUAAUACCGCAUAGGCUUACACUGAUGGGAAUGGUGUGGGUAAAACUGAGGUGCUGCAAGAGGGGCCUGCGUCCGAUUAGCUAGUUGGUGAGGUAAUGGCUCACCAAGGCGAUGAUCGGUAGCUGGUCUGAGAGGACGAUCAGCCACACGGGAACUGAGAAACGGUCCCGACUCCUACGGGGGGCAGCAGUGGGGAAUCUUGCGCAAUGGGGGCAACCCUGACGCAGCCAUGCCGCGUGAACGAUGAAGGCCUUAGGGUUGUAAAGUUCUUUUACCCGUGACGAUGAUGACGGUACCCCACGAAUAAGCCCCGGCUAACUUCGUG
rnacentral:rRNA from 1 species